CAGCCGCCACGGGAAUACGAAGGGUGCAAGCGUUACUCGGAAUUACUGGGCGUAAAGCGUGCGUAGGUGGUGGUUUAAGUCCGUUGUGAAAGCCCUGGGCUCAACCUGGGAAUUGCAGUGGAUACUGGGUCACUAGAGUGUGGUAGAGGAUAGUGGAAUUUCCGGUGUAGCAGUGAAAUGCGUAGAGAUCGGAAGGAACAUCUGUGGCGAAGGCGACUAUCUGGGCCAACACUGACACUGAGGCACGAAAGCGUGGGGAGCAAACAGGAUUAGAUACCCGGGUAGUCCCUGUCUCUUAUAA
rnacentral:rRNA from 1 species